GACGAACGCUGGCGGCGUGCUUAACACAUGCAAGUCGAGCGGUAAGGCCCUUUCGGGGGUACACGAGCGGCGAACGGGUGAGUAACAUGUGGGUGACCUGCCCUCCAGCUCUGGGACUAAGCCUGGGAAACUGGGUCUAAUACCGGAUAUGACUCCAUGACGCAUGUUGUGGGGUGGAAAGCCUUGUGCGGCUGAGGAGUGGGCCCGCGGCCUAUCAGCUUGUUGGUGGGGNGAUGGCCUACCAAGGCGACGACGGGUAGCCGGCCUGAGAGGGCGACGGCCACACUGGGACUGAGACACGGCCCAGACUCCUACGGGAGGCAGCAGUGGGGAAUCUUGCGCAAUGGGCGAAAGCCUGACGCAGCGACGCCGCGUGAGGGAU
rnacentral:rRNA from 1 species